GGCUUUGUGGUGUAGUGGUAGCAUACUCGUUUGGGUCGAAGUGGUCUCGGGUUCGAUCCCCGACAAAGCCC